CCCCUAGACGUUCUGGGCUGCACGCGCGCUACAAUAAUACGCACAGCGAGUAUCACCGAGCUCGAAAGGGCAAGGUAAACAAUAGAAAAGGUACUGUAAUGGUUAUAGAUCCUUGUAAUUAUUGAUCUUCAACGAGGAAUUCCUAGUAAGUAUGUGUCAUCAUCACGCACUGAUUACGUCCCUGCCCUUUGUACACACCGCCCGUCGCUACUACCGAUUGAAUGGUUCAGUGAGAUAAUCGGACAGAAAACUUGGCAACUGGCAACAGUUGACGUGCAUUUUUGGAAGACGAUCAAACUUGGUCAUUUAGAGGAAGUAAAAGUCGUAACA
rnacentral:rRNA from 1 species